rnacentral:lncRNA from 1 species
CUUAGCUGUUUUUAAGAUACUUUGGAAAGCUUCCUAAAAAGAUGAAAGAAACAUUUAUGUAGCAUCUAUUAUUCUCCAGGCUCUGUGAUGAGAUUUUUUCAUAUUUAAUUUCUUCCCAAACCCUGUGAAAUAGAUACUCUCUUCAUUUUCAGAAGAGUGUAUUCUGAGUAUUUUUGAGAUGGUGAAUCCUGAACUACAACUGCUGGCACCACUGACAUGGGCACUGAUAUUGCUCUAGCUGCAUCCACCAAAUGGAAGGGGGAUCAAAGGCUGGGAACUCUACAAACCAAUAAAAAUCCACUUCAAUGAGGAAAGCAGAAUUUAUAUGGCCAAGGGCACAGUACUAUAUUUGACUCUUUUGUUCACCAUUGAGGAUGGAACUCCAGGGUCUCUCACAUGGAGUCAGCAAACCUAUUCCAUGGAUGGUUGAGUUGAGGUCCCAACCUUCUUUUUGGGGAAUCUCCUCAGACCCCAUCCAGCAACAACAUCACAGACAAGGACAACAUGAAAGAAAAAACAAGCUGCCAAGCAGCGGAUCAGUGGAUGCAAAGGCUACCUUUUUUCAGAGUCUGGAUUUCAGCAAGCUUUGUAGGAUGAAGUAAUCAUACAACCAGCUGUGGAAACUAAAUAAACCUUUUCAUAGUUUCCACUUUUGCAGCUGGGGAAAAGCAUAUAAAACAAAGGUGAAUUUGGUCUGGGAGCAUAAUGUUAAUUAAAGCUGGGCUUUCAAGGAUUGACACACAUUAUUCUUUAGAGAAGGGUUGAUUAUCUCUACUACUUCUCCACUUAACAGAUCAACCUGGCUUAUUAUUAAACCUGAAAAGACUAUGUGGCACCUCAAAGUGGAUUACUCCUACCUUGGUGCUGUGUACUCAUCCACUAAAGCUCUCAUAGCAAAUAUUGAAAUUAUUUAUUCCAUCCAAUCAGUAGCUAGAAAAUACUUUGCAGUCAUACAAUUAGCUAAUGUGUUUUUUUUCAAUGAUUGUUUCAAUAACCUCUAAACUGCAGUUUACUUUCACCUCUGAAGGGACACAAUUCACCUUAACCAGGAUACCUAUGAGGUGUCUCAACAGCCCUGCUGUUACACACAACCUUAUGCACAACAGCUUAACCAUAUCCAACUUUCCUCAGGAGCAUAGGGAUGACAUCAAAAUAUUGACAUCUUCCUCUAAGGAGGCUCAACCCACCUAUUUAGGUCAUGUGAACACAGAAGAGCUCACCAAAAGGGGAGGGACACUGCCUCAGACAUAGUACAAGGC